AACGCGAAGAACCUUACCCACCUUUGACAUGUACGGAAUUUGCCAGAGAUGGCUCAGUGCUCGAAAGAGAACCGUAACACAGGUGCUGCAUGGCUGUCGUCAGCUCGUGUCGUGAGAUGUUGGGUUAAGUCCCGCAACGAGCGCAACCCUUGUCAUUAGUUGCUACAUUCAGUUGGGCACUCUAGUGAGACUGCCGGUGACAAACCGGAGGAAGGUGGGGAUGACGUCAAGUCCUCAUGGCCCUUAUAGGUGGGGCUACACACGUCAUACAAUGGCUGGUACAAAGGGUUGCCAACCCGCGAGGGGGAGCUAAUCCCAUAAAACCAGUCGUAGUCCGGAUCGCAGUCUGCAACUCGACUGCGUGAAGUCGGAAUCGCUAGUAAUCGUGGAUCAGAAUGUCACGGUGAAUACGUUCCCGGGCCUUGUACACACCG
rnacentral:rRNA from 1 species